GCGAGCGGCUACGGCCGCGAAGUGGGUGAUGUCAAGCUUCCAAGAAAAGCCCUAUACCCGUUAAGGCAUGAUGGCCUGUACCCGAAACCGACACAGGUGGGGUGGUAGAGAAUACCGAGGGGCGCGAGGUAACUCUCUCUAAGGAACUCGGCAAAAUGGCCCCGUAACUUCGGGAGAAGGGGUGCCACCGCAAGGUGGUCGCAGAGAAGAGGCCCAGGCGACUGUUUACCAAAAACACAGGUCUCCGCUAAGUCGCAAGACGAUGUAUGGGGGCUGACGCCUGCCCAGUGCCGGAAGGUUAAGGAAGCUGGUCAGCGCAAGCGAAGCUGGCGACUGAAGCCCCGGUGAACGGCGGCCGUAACAAUAACGGUCCUAAGGUAGCGAAAUUCCUUGUCGGGUAAGUUCCGACCCGCACGAAAGGCGUAACGAUCUGGGCGCUGUCUCGGAGAGAGGCUCGGCGAAAUAGAAUUGUCUGUGAAGAUGCGGACUACGUGCACCCGGACAGAAAGACCCUAUGAAGCUUUACUGUAGCUUGGUAUUGUGCCCGGGCUCUGAAUGCGCAGGAUAGGUGGGAGGCUUUGAUCCAUGGCUUGCGGGUCAUGGUGAGCCAACGGUGAGAUACCACUCUUUCAGAGCUAGGGUUCUAACGGUCACCCGUCAUCCGGGGACCGGACAGUAUCAGGUGGGCAGUUUGACUGGGGCGGUCGCCUCCUAAAAGGUAACGGAGGCGCGCAAAGGUUUGCUCAGGCUGGUUGGAAAUCAGCCGACGAGUGCAAAAGCAGAGGCAAGCUUGACUGUGAGACCUACAAGUCGAACAGGGACGAAAGUCGGCUUUAGUGAUCCGACGGUUCUGAGUGGAAGGGCCGUCGCUCAACGGAUAAAAGUUACUCUAAGGAUAACAGGCUGAUCUCCCCCAAGAGUUCACAUCGACGGGGAGGUUUGGCACCUCGAUGUCGGCUCAUCGCAACCUGGGGCUGAAGUCGGUCCCAAGGGUUGGGCUGUUCGCCCAUUAAAGCGGUACGCGAGCUGGGUUCAGAACGUCGUGAGACAGUUCGGUCCAUAUCCGGUGCACGCGCAGGAACAUUGAGAGGAUUUCUCCCUAGUACGAGAGGACCGGGAGGAACGCACCUCUGGUGUGCCAGUUAUCGUGCCAACGGUAAACGCUGGGUAGCCAUGUGCGGAGUGGAUAACCGCUGAAAGCAUCUAAGUGGGAAGCCCACCUCAAGAUGAGUGUUCCCAUGGCAUAAGCCAGUAAGGUCACGGGAAGAACACCCGUUGAUAGGCUCUACGUGGAAGCCGGGUAACCGGUGAAGCGGAGGAGUACUAAUAGACCGAGGGCUUGAGC
rnacentral:rRNA from 1 species